rnacentral:rRNA from 1 species
GACGAACGCUGGCGGCGUGCUUAACACAUGCAAGUCGAACGGAAAGGCCCUGCUUGUGUGGGGUGCUCGAGUGGCGAACGGGUGUGUAACAUGGGAGUAACCUGCCCUUGACUUGGGGAUAACUUCAGGAAACUGGGGCUAAUACCGGAUAGGAGCUCCUGCUGCAUGGGGGGGGUUGGAAAGUUUGGGCGGUUGGGGAUGGACUGGCGGCUUAUCAGUUUGUUGGUGGGGUAGUGGCUUACCAAGGCUUUGGUGGGUAGCCGGCCUGGGAGGGUGACCGGCACCAUUGGGACUGAGAUACGGCCCAGACUCCUACGGGAGGCAGCAGUGGGGAUUAUUGCACAAUGGGCGGAAGCCUGAUGCAGCACCGCCGCGUGCGGGAUGACGGCCUUCGGGUUGUAAACCGCUUUCGCCUGUGACGAAGCGUGAGUGACGGUAAUGGGUAAAGAAGCACCGGCUAACUACGUG